GGACCAAGGGCCAGAGGGGGAAAAGGAAGAGUGUCGAGGGGGCUUUGGACAGGCUGCCACCACAGAUACAACAGCUGAACAAACUCGGCACUCCCGAGCAGA